AUGCAGUGCCGUGGUGUGAUGGCAGACGUUCAAGAUGGUCAUUAUGAUUCGUCCACUGACAGCUUGCGCGUUGAGCCUAUUUAUGAAUCAUUUCUUUGUCCACUCACAAAACAAAUUAUGCGGGAUCCUGUCACUUUAGAGAGUGGUGCUACAUUUGAACGGGAAGCCAUUUUGAAGUGGUUCCAGGAAUCUGAUAGCAGUGGAAGGAGCCUUAUCUGCCCUAUUACUAGGAAGGAGCUCAGCAGCACUGAGUUGAAUCCAAGCAUUGCUCUGAGAAACACUAUUGAUGAAUGGAUGCAUAGGAAUGAGGCAGCUAAACUUGAUGUAGCCCGUAAAUCCUUAACUUCCGAGAAUUCAGAACAUGAUACUUUGCAAGCACUUGAAUAUGUUGUGGAGAUAUGUCAGAGAAGUAGAUCCAGCAGACAUGUAGUGAGGAAGCUUGGCUUGAUAAGCUUAAUUUCCGAGCUGUUGAAGAAUAGCAGUACAAAAGUACGGCAAAAGUCAUUGGAAAGUCUUUGCUUUGUAGCUAAAGAUGACAAUGAUAACAAGGAUGAGAUUGCUGCCGGGGACAAUAUUCGCACAAUAGUGAAGUUCUUAUCUCAUGGCCACGUCCAAGAGAAAGAACAGGCUGCAUCUCUGUUAUAUGAACUUUCACAAUAUAAACCUCUUUCAGAAAAAAUUGGGAGCGUUCCUGGGGCCAUACUUAUACUUGUUGGCUUGUCAAGUAGUAAAAUAGAAAACCUGUUGACAGUUGAUAGGGCUGAUAAGACACUUGUGAAUUUGGAGAGCUGUGAAAAAAAUGUUAGACAGAUGGCGGAAAACGGUAGACUGCAACCGCUUCUUAGGCUUCUUCUUGAAGGUUCAGCUGAUACACAAUUAUCUAUGGCUGCUUAUGUUGGGGAGCUUGUUUUAACCAACGAGGUGAAGGUCUUUGUGGCACAAACAGCAGGCUCCGCACUAGUCAAUAUCAUGAAAAGUGGGAAUAGGGAGGCUAGAGAAGCAGCUCUGAAGGCACUGAAUCAAAUUUCAUCUUACGACGUCAGUGCGAAGAUACUAAUUGAAGCAGGUAUUCUCCCACCUCUCAUAGCAGACCUCUUUACAGUUGGCAGUAAUCAGCUUCCAAUGAGGUUGAAGAAGGUAUCAGCAACAAUUCUUGCAAAUGUUGUGGCAUCAGGUGCAAAUUUUCAGUCCAUUCCACUUGACCACAACAGGCAGACACUGGUAUCUGAAGAAAUUGUUCACAAUCUGCUUCAUCUCAUCAGCAAUACAGGACCUGCAACUGAGUGUAAGUUACUCCAGGUGCUUGUUGGUUUAACUAGUUCUUCUACAACUGUCCAAGGCAUAGUUGAUGCCAUCAAAAGCUCAGGGGCUACUGUCAGUUUAAUUCAGUUUAUUGAAGCACCUCAAAGAGAGGUUCGCAUGGCUUCCAUCAAGCUCUUGAAUAACAUAUCACCAUGUAUGGGUCAAGAACUGGCUGAAGCUUUUCGUGGAAAUUUUAGUCAACUCAGCAGCUUGAUUAGAGUCAUUGCUGACAACAAUGGUAUUUCUGAAGAGCAAGCACCAGCUGCUGGUCUUGUAGCUGAUCUUCCUCUGCAGGAUUCGGUGCUAACCAGACGUCUUGUUGAAGAUGGGGCUUUCACCACAAUAAUAUCCAAAGUGAUAAUGAUCAGACAAGGGGAGAGUCGUGGGGGGCGUUUCGUCAACCCUUUUCUUGAAGGUCUAGUUAGGAUAGUCUCCCGGAUCACAUUUAUCUUGGAGGAUGAUCCAGAUAUCAUUGCUGUUGCUCGUGAAUACAAUCUCACUGCACUAUUUAGUGAUCUGCUUCAGAUGAAUGGUCUUGACACUGUCCAGAUUGUCUCUGCCACCGCACUAGGAAAUCUAUCUGGCCAGUCAAAGCAUCUAACGAAGAUUCUGCCACCUCCCAACGGGGGAUUGUGUUUUUCAAUAUUUCCAUGCCUCAGUCAGAAGUCUGUAGAAACUGGUGUCUGUAGAGUUCAUCAUGGAAUAUGUUCGUCAAGGGAAAGCUUCUGUCUCUUGGAAGGGAAGGUGGUGGAGAAGUUGGUUGCUUGCUUGGAUCACAACAAUGAGAAAGUUGUUGAAGCCUCUCUAACAGCACUGUCCACAUUAUUAGACGAUGGACUGGACAUUGAUCAAGGUGUGAUGGUCCUGUGCGACGCAGAGGGCGUCAAACCAAUUCUUGAUGUAUUGUGUGAGAAUCGGACUGAGGCGCUGAGGCAGAGAGCGGUGUGGGCAGUAGAAAGGAUCCUUAGGACGGAUGAAAUAGCUUAUGAGAUCUCGGGAAACCAAAAUGUCAGUACAGCCUUGGUUGAAGCUUUCAGGCAUGGUGACUUUAGGACAAGGCAAAUUGCAGAGCGAGCACUAAAGCAUGUUGAUAAGCUGCCCAAUUUCUCUGGGAUAUUUUCGAAGAUCGGAGCACAGUGA
rnacentral:rRNA from 1 species